rnacentral:rRNA from 1 species
GACGAACGCUGGCGGCGUGCUUAACACAUGCAAGUCGAACGGAAAGGCCCUGCUUGCAGGGUGCUCGAGUGGCGAACGGGUGAGUAACACGUGGGUGAUCUGCCCCUUACUUUGGGAUAAGCCUGGGAAACUGGGUCUAAUACUGGAUAGGACCAUGCUGUAGGUGGUGUGGUGGAAAGAUUAGUUUCGGUAAGGGAUGAGCUCGCGGCCUAUCAGCUUGUUGGUGGGGUAAUGGCCUACCAAGGCGUCGACGGGUAGCCGGCCUGAGAGGGUGGACGGCCACAUUGGGACUGAGAUACGGCCCAGACUCCUACGGGAGGCAGCAGUGGGGAAUAUUGCACAAUGGGCGCAAGCCUGAUGCAGCGACGCCGCGUGGGGGAUGACGGCCUUCGGGUUGUAAACUCCUUUCAACCAUGACGAAGCCCUUGUGGUGACGGUAGUGGUAGAAGAAGCACCGGCUAACUACGUG